rnacentral:rRNA from 1 species
GAUGAACGCUGGCGGCGUGCCUAAUACAUGCAAGUCGAGCGAACGGACGAGAAGCUUGCUUCUCUGAUGUUAGCGGCGGACGGGUGAGUAACACGUGGAUAACCUACCUAUAAGACUGGGAUAACUUCGGGAAACCGUAGCUAAUACCGGAUAAUAUUUUGAACCGCAUGGUUCAAAAGUGAAAGACGGUCUUGCUGUCACUUAUAGAUGGAUCCGCGCUGCAUUAGCUAGUUGGUAAGGUAACGGCUUACCAAGGCAACGAUGCAUAGCCGACCUGAGAGGGUGAUCGGCCACACUGGAACUGAGACACGGUCCAGACUCCUACGGGAGGCAGCAGUAGGGAAUCUUCCGCAAUGGGCGAAAGCCUGACGGAGCAACGCCGCGUGAGUGAUGAAGGUCUUCGGAUCGUAAAACUCUGUUAUUAGGGAAGAACAUAUGUGUAAGUAACUGUGCACAUCUUAACGGUACCUAAUCAGAAAGCCACGGCUAACUACGUG